UACGUAGGGGUCGAGCGUUGUCCGGAGUUACUGGGCGUAAAGCGCGCGCAGGCGGCGCGAUAAGACCGGCGUGAAAGCCCCCGGCUCAACCGGGGAGGGUCGUUGGUGACUGUCGCGCUUGAAGGCAGCAGGGGUGAGUGGAAUUCCCGGUGUAGUGGUGAAAUGCGUAGAUAUCGUGAGGAAUACCAGAGGCGAAGGCGGCUACCUGGACAAUUGCUGACGCUCAGGCACGGAAAGCGUGGGGAGCAAAAGGG
rnacentral:rRNA from 1 species